UUGAAGUUUUGGCUUUGUUGAAACUCUUUGAAACUUGUGCUUCAAUGUUGACUACAGGUGGUAUUUGUAUUGGGGAAGUUUCUUGGUGCCACCGUUCAAGAUUUGGAAGAGAAGCAGAAUAGCAAGAAAGGAACGGUUUGUAACUAGAAAUUGUUGUUAGCAAAGUUGUGAAAAAGAAAAACAAAUUCGAACCUAUGAUCCGAAAAUUAUUUAUGUUCAGAAACUACGCUCCAUAAUUACUCUAGGGGUAAUUUCGUCAGUUUGAGGGGCCUAAGAGCAAUAUUGGGGGGCCUAAAAAACAAUUUUCAUAAAAACAUCAUAGUUGUUUUGGUCCAUGUCACAAGCUUUGCCGUCAAGGGCGGAGAUGGUGGUGAUUAUUCUUCCCUGAGCUCUUAACUUUCAAAGGUUCUCUCUUUCACUCUUUUCACUUUUAUUUGUUAAAUUAGUAGUAAUGUUCUUAUUGUUCUUGAUUUUGUGUUGAAACUAUUGAUUCUUUUUAUUUUAAAGAAAAUGGGUUUGGCUUUUUACUUGUUGUUCUUGUAUUUUGACAGAUGAAAAUGUUUUUCUUAGUGAAUGAGGUUACACAGUCAUAAUGCUGAUAUUCUUAUAAGGGAAUCACAUUGUAUUCAUUUUUUCCUAAAGUUCUAAGUUUCAAUUGUGUCAAUUUUAUGAUGCCACACUACAUUGAUGAUAUAAUAGAACUCAAUUAGCCAUGCUAUGCUUUUGGCAGCCGCUAUGACUGCUUCUCUCAAUAGUGCUUCGUGGACCCAUGUCAUAGCGAUGGAGGGCCUUGCCGCCACGCUAUAACAAUGUAGGAGUACUCAAUUAGCCAACUUCUCUAACAACCCUUAAUAGGACAAGGCCAUGAUUCUGAUAGGAUUUUUUGUGCUGUUGAAUUUGGGAGAGUUAAGAAAGGGAAGCAUGAUACUAUAGAGGGUUAAGAAAGCGUCAGAUUCAUUGUGUAUAUAGUAUGUACAAUGUAGUCUUACCUUGCACUUGCAAGAAACAGAUUCCACGACUUGAACCUAUAACCUAUUGUUGUUGGAUCAACAAUUCCAAUACUCAAAAUGUCUGAGUUGCAGCGCACGGCAGCUAAUGUUGUCAAUAGCAGAUUGCAGAAAAUAGUGGUUUGUACUUUGUUCAAAUACCACUACGCCACAGCGCUAUAGUCUGUUAUCACUGUUAUUUGACAAAAGACAACACUUUAUACUAAAUCAAGGAUCACAAAAGAAUUGUGGUAUGUUCAAAUUCACUGUUAUCAUUUAACUAUACGCAGUAGCGCUAUUUGACAACACGGGCGACAACUUAAUUGUAUCAAGGGAGAAAGGGUUAUUAAAGAGGUAGUGUCAUGUUGAUAGGUUGCUUGGAAGAUGUUUAUAGAAAUGAUGUGUUUUUGUAUGAAGCACGAACACCUAUAUGAUUAGGUGUGUCGCGGUAUCCGACACUCAGAUAGGUGUCCAAAAAAAAAAAAUCAGUUUUUUCUUUACUUAGACACUUCUUGAAUCGGUGUCUGACACCUGGAAGAUACUCAUAGAAAACAUGUCGGACAAGUGUCCCCAAUUUUUUUUUCUUUGCUUCUACUCUUCUUAGACACAUAUCAGACAUGCCUAGAAGGGUUAAAGAUGUGACAAAACAGCAAUGCUAAUCAAUGAGGGAUUAACGACAUUAUUUUUUCGUUAGUAGAUGGAUAAAUAAAAGUCAAAUACUGUCAUAUAUUGUUUUAAAACUUUUUUUUAAUGAAAUAACUUGCUCAACUUAGAUGCACAUGUAUAUAUUUUGAUUCUCAAUUUAGAUUUUUAAUAAAUAAAUAACAGUGUCGUUAUUCUAUGUUUUUUACAUUAGAAGUGCCACGUGUCCGUGUCAUGUCAUGCGUCUGUGUCGGAGUCCUUGCUUCAUAUAGUAAACUUAUUUUUGUCAUUACUACUUCAGUUUAUUUCUCUCUGCUUGAGCUCUCCCUUAAUUUAUAUAUAUCCCAAAUAAGAUUUCUGCUGAUGUCACUUAUGUACUAACUCAGUAGCCACUUUAUAACUGAUUUUGAGCCAUUUUUUACCUAGCAGUACAUUUCCAACAUCUAAAACUAUUGUGUUGUGCUGACAAACGUGCGUGGUUGUCAAUAGGAGCUUCCUUUUCCCUCAAAUCAGAUGGCUUUUUUAUUUCAGAAAUUUCAAGAGGUAUCUCCUUAUCUUAUGUAUCAAUUGAAAAUUAACUACUUUUUUGUUGCGAAUAUGCCAAGAUAUGUGUAAGUUGUUAAUAUUCAUUUAUUAAAAAAAAAAAAUGGAGAAAUGGCAACAAUUCAAAAAAUGGUGUUUUAGUCUUCUUGUUGCCCUGAUAAUUGACGACACAUGGUCUUGACUGAGUGGGGAUAGCUCAUUCGGAGUGGAGCAUAAUGUAUUUUGUUUAACCAAUCGAGUAGAAUUUAUAUUAUUAGAAGCAAUCAAUAGGUGAUAUCUUAUUUUUUAUAGUAGUAGUGCUUGCAGAAAUUAACGAUUUACCAAUUUUCCAUGUUUUAAGCUAAUCAAGUUUAGUUUUCAUCUGUUGUUCAUCAUGUGAAGUUUAUUAUAAAAGUCUUGAUUUAAAUUUUUUCAGGCUGUGAAAACUCUUGCAAAAAGUCCCACUUUUGCUUUUGCUAGGGAUCCAAGACAACUACAGUUUGAAGUUGAUCUUAAUCGUUUGUUCCUUUAUACAAGGUAAGUGGUUUUUUGUUGUCCGCGUUUACAAUUCAAGGGUGCAUUAAACUUUCUUCUCCUUUUGUUUUUUUCUCUUAUCCGCUUCUUUUUUAUUUCUAUCUAGCUAUGCUAAUGUAACAUAUCAACCAUCCUGAUCUAAUUGGUACUUUUGAUGAUAUUUUAGACUAUAGAUAGAAAAAGGGUAUACAGAGAUAGAAAGAAUCCACAGUAUAUUACUAAUUAGUAUUUCCUCCAUUCCAAAACUUUAGUUUAAGCAUUUUAGUUUUGUUUCAAAAC
rnacentral:lncRNA from 1 species